AUUGAACGCUGGCGGCAGGCCUAACACAUGCAAGUCGAGCGAGCGGCGGACGGGUGAGUAAUGUAUGGGGACUGCCCGAUAGAGGGGGAUAACUACUGGAAACGGUGGCUAAUACCGCAUACUAUCGGAUAACCCAUAUGGGAUUAGCUAGUAGGUGGGGUGAAGGCUAACCUAGGCGAUGAUCUCUAGCUGGUCUGAGAGGAUGAUCAGCAACACUGCGACUGAGACCAGACCCAGACUCCGACGGAGGCAGCGGUGGGAAAGAUGGCACGUUGGGCGCAAACCUGCAGCAGCCAUGCCGGGUGUAUGAAGAAGGCCUUAGGGUUGUAAAGUACGUUCAGCGGGGAGUCGUUACCCGAAGAAGAAGCACCGGCUAACUCCGUGCCAGCAGCCGCGGUAAUUC
rnacentral:rRNA from 1 species